GCGAGUGGCGAACGGGUGAGUAAUACAUCGGAACAUGUCCUGUAGUGGGGGAUAGCCCGGCGAAAGCCGGAUUAAUACCGCAUACGAUCUACGGAUGAAAGCGGGGGACCUUCGGGCCUCGCGCUAUAGGGUUGGCCGAUGGCUGAUUAGCUAGUUGGUGGGGUAAAGGCCUACCAAGGCGACGAUCAGUAGCUGGUCUGAGAGGACGACCAGCCACACUGGGACUGAGACACGGCCCAGACUCCUACGGGAGGCAGCAGUGGGGAAUUUUGGACAAUGGGCGAAAGCCUGAUCCAGCAAUGCCGCGUGUGUGAAGAAGGCCUUCGGGUUGUAAAGCACUUUUGUCCGGAAAGAAAUCCUUGGUUCUAAUAUAGCCGGGGGAUGACGGUACCGGAAGAAUAAGCACCGGCUAACUACGUGCCAGCAGCCGCGGUAAUACGUAGGGUGCGAGCGUUAAUCGGAAUUACUGGGCGUAAAGCGUGCGCAGGCGGUUUGCUAAGACCGAUGUGAAAUCCCCGGGCUCAACCUGGGAACUGCAUUGGUGACUGGCAGGCUAGAGUAUGGCAGAGGGGGGUAGAAUUCCACGUGUAGCAGUGAAAUGCGUAGAGAUGUGGAGGAAUACCGAUGGCGAAG
rnacentral:rRNA from 1 species